UGGUCUCGAUCUCCUGACCUCAUGAUCCACCCACCUCGGCCUCCCAAAAUGCUGGGAUUACAGGCGUGAGCCACCGCACCCCAGGCGUGAGCAGGCAUUUUUUAGAAGAAACACAAACUGAAUAAAUACUUGAAAAGCUUUCGCAGUUCGAUUGUUGGACUGUUUCUGACAGGCUUUCAGCUUGAUUGACAUCUUUCUGCUUACUGAAGCUUUGAAGUGCAACAAGACGAUGAUGUAUUGCUGCAUACAAAUAUGCUGUAUCUUUGGCACUGGCCUGCGUUUGACUGGCUCCAACUUCUGAACAUCACUGUGCCUGCAGGAUUCAAUAACUGCACACCUUGGAAACUAAUCUCUUUCCUUAGAGACUAAUCCUUCAUCCUGACCCCCAUCCCAUGUCUGGGAUGCCCAGGACAAAUC